GUAGCGCUGAGAAAUACUAAUUAUUUUUAAAAAAUGUACAUCAAAGUUAUUGAAAAAAACAAAAAUGUUUGCAUUUGCCGAAUCUUCAUAGGACACCCUGCAUAUGGCCAUUGAACUUUACUUUUCAGUUCUGUGUAAACGAUCUUAUUUAUCUAAUUAAUUUGUAAAGGACUCUUAGGUCAUUUACUGUUAAUCAUAUCUCUAUUUUUUACUAUCGAGUGAUACACUGGUACACGUGUGCGUGAUUAGUCAAUGAAUAA